AGUGAACGCUGGCGGUAGGCCUAACACAUGCAAGUCGAACGGCAGCACAGUAAGAGCUUGCUCUUACGGGUGGCGAGUGGCGGACGGGUGAGGAAUACAUCGGAAUCUACUUUUUCGGGGGGGAUAACGUAGGGAAACUUACGCUAAUACCGCAUACGACCUACGGGUGAAAGCAGUGGAUCUUCGGACCUUGCGCGAUUGAAUGAGCCGAUGUCGGAUUAGCUAGUUUGCGGGGUAAAGGCCCACCAAGGCGACGAUACGUAGCUGGCCUGAGAGGGUGAUCCGCCACACUGGAACUGAGACACGGUCCAGACUCCUACGGGAGGCAGCAGUAGGGAAUCUUGCGCAAUGGGCGCAAGCCUGAUGCAGCCACGCCGCGUGAGUGAUGAAGGCCUUCGGGUUGUAAAACCCUGUUAUUAGGGAAGAAAAAAAGUGUGAUUAACUCCCCACGUUUUGACGGUACCCAAAGAAAAAGCCACGGCUAACUUCGUG
rnacentral:rRNA from 1 species